rnacentral:rRNA from 1 species
UCCGGUUGAUCCCGCCGGACCUGACUGCUAUCGGAUUGGUACUAAGCCAUGUGAGUCAUUGUAGCAAUACAAGGCAUACGGCUCAGUAACACGUGGUCAAUCUAACCUAUGGACGUGGAUAACCUCGGGAAACUGAGAAUAAUCCGCGAUAGAUCAUUAUGCCUGGAACGGUUUAUGGUCGAAAUGAUUCGUCGCCAUAGGAUGGGACUGCGGCCUAUCAGCUUGUUGGUGAGGUAAUGGCCCACCAAGGCUAUUACAGGUACGGGCUCUGAGAGGAGAAGCCCGGAGAUGGGUACUGAGACACGGACCCAGGCCCUAUGGGGCGCAGCAGGCGAGAAACCUUUGCAAUGUGCGCAAGCACGACAAGGUUAAUCCGAGUGUUUCCUGCUAAAGGAAUCUUUUGUUAGUUCUAAAACCACUGAUGAAUAAGGGGUGGGCAAGUUCUGGUGUCAGCCGCCGCGGUAAAACCAGCACCUCAAGUGGUCAGGAGGAUUAUUGGGCCUAAAGCAUCCGUAGCCGGUUUUGUAAGUUUCCGGUUAAAUCCACUAGCUCAACUAAUGGGCUGCCGGAAAUACUGCAGAACUAGGGAGUGGGAGAGGUAGACGGUACUCGGUAGGAAGGGGUAAAAUCCUUUGAUCUAUUGAUGACCACCUGUGGCGAAGGCGGUCUACCAGAACACGUUCGACGGUGAGGGAUGAAAGCUGGGGGAGCAAACCGGAUUAGAUACCCGGGUAGUCCCAGCUGUAAACGAUGCAGACUCGGUGAUGCACUGGCUUAUGGCCAGUGCAGUGCCGCAGGGAAGCUGUUAAGUUUGCCGCCUGGGAAGUACGUACG